UAGCGGCGGACGGGUGCGUAACGCGUGGGUAAUCUGCCCUUAUCACUGGGAUAACACAUCGAAAGGUGUGCUAAUACCAGAUAAAAUCAAAUCUUGGCAUCAAGAAUUGAUCAAAGAACUUCGGAUAAGGAUGAGCCUGCGUCUGAUUAGCUAGUUGGUGGGGUAAUGGCCUACCAAGGCGACGAUCAGUAGCCGACCUGAGAGGGUGAUCGGCCACACUGGAACUGAGACACGGUCCAGACUCCUACGGGAGGCAGCAGUGGGGAAUAUUGCACAAUGGGCGAAAGCCUGAUGCAGCAACGCCGCGUGAGUGAUGAAGGCUUUCGGGUCGUAAAACUCUGUUCUAAGGGAAGAUAAUGACGGUACCUUAGGAGAAAGCCCCGGCUAACUACGUGCCAGCAGCCGCGGUAAUACGUAGGGGGCAAGCGUUAUCCGGAAUUACUGGGCGUAAAGGGUGCGUAGGUGGCCUGACAAGUCAGGGGUCAAAGGCAACGGCUCAACCGUUGUAAGCCCUUGAAACUGUCGGGCUUGAGUUC
rnacentral:rRNA from 1 species